GGCAGCUCAAUGGCGAAUUUAACUUUCUUACUAAAGUAGCCUUGGAAAAUGCUGCCUCGGCCUGGUGGCGAGGGGAUCGGUGUGGCUAGCCCAGGGCGUGGGCUGAAGGAGGGGGGACUCAAACCUUAUCAAGCCUGCCACUCCACCUCCCGCCUCGCUGGAGUGGACGCAGGAGUCGGUAACCCUUACAAGAGCCAAUAACCCCAAACGCAUUCCCUUCUCGCCCACACAGUCUCGCAAGUGGAGGGACUUGGCCACAGCCUUGCCACAGGCCCUUGCAAGAGGAAGCAUCUGGCGAUGGGAGACGUGGUUCCCUGAGGCUUGGGAAAUGAAGAAGGCAUUUUCCUGGGACACCAGCACAGCUGUCUACUUCUGGGCUCAGACUGUGAACCUCUCCAGCUUUGGUUGGAGCCAGCUGAUACUUCUUCCCACAAGGACUGCUCUGGAAUAAGCUCGACAGAAAAGGUUUUGUUUGGUUUGUGAAUACCCGAGGCAAAAGUCUGACCUUAGUGAGGUCAAGAGAAAAAACCCUUCCUGAUCUCCCCAAGAUCUGGAGUUCCCCCUCUGUGCCCACACUGGGAAUCACUUGAAGAAGUACUUGAUUCUCUUCUUGAGCUUUUAUGACUUUUAGCAGUGUAAAAAGAGUCAAAACACAGCGUGGCAUCUUGGGAAAACCUGAAAUACAUAAAGACGUGAACACUGACAUCUAGUAGUACGGUCCUAAACAGUUGACCGCUUUGUGAAACCUUUCUUUGCAGAAAGCUUGCUUGGUUCAUGUCUUCAGUACCCUGUGUUUUGUUAUCUGUAGCCUGCCGGUUAGAGUGAUAUUUGCUUCUUUUUUUGUACUGUUUUCAUUUGG